rnacentral:rRNA from 1 species
CCUACGGGAGGCAGCAGUGGGGGAUAUUGCACAAUGGGGGAAACCCUGAUGCAGCGACACCGCGUGGGCGAAGAAGUAUUUCGGUAUGUAAAGCCCUAUCAGCAGGGAAGAAGAAAUGACGGUACCUGAGUAAGAAGCACCGGCUAAAUACGUGCCAGCAGCCGCGGUAAUACGUAUGGUGCAAGCGUUAUCCGGAUUUACUGGGUGGAAAGGGAGCGCAGGCGGCACGGCAAGCCUGAUGUGAAAGCCCGCGGCCCAACCGCGGGACUGCAUUGGGAACUACCGGGCUGGAGUGCCGGAGAGGUAGGCGGAAUUCGUAGUGUAGCGGUGAAAUGCGUAGAUAUUAGGAGGAACACCAGUGGCGAAGGCGGCCUACUGGACGGUGACUGACGCUGAGGCUCGAAAGCGUGGGGAGCAAACAGGAUUAGAUACCCGAGUAGUC